AACGAUGAUCCCAGCUUGCUGGGGGAUUAGUGGCGAACGGGUGAGUAACACGUGAGUAACCUGCCCUUAACUCUGGGAUAAGCCUGGGAAACUGGGUCUAAUACCGGAUAUGACUCCUCAUCGCAUGGUGGGGGGUGGAAAGCUUUAUUGUGGUUUUGGAUGGACUCGCGGCCUAUCAGCUUGUUGGUGAGGUAAUGGCUCACCAAGGCGACGACGGGUAGCCGGCCUGAGAGGGUGACCGGCCACACUGGGACUGAGACACGGCCCAGACUCCUACGGGAGGCAGCAGUGGGGAAUAUUGCACAAUGGGCGAAAGCCUGAUGCAGCGACGCCGCGUGAGGGAUGACGGCCUUCGGGUUGUAAACCUCUUUCAGUAGGGAAGAAGCGAAAGUGACGGUACCUGCAGAAGAAGCGCCGGCUAACUACGUGCCAGCAGCCGCGGUAAUACGUAGGGCGCAAGCGUUAUCCGGAAUUAUUGGGCGUAAAGAGCUCGUAGGCGGUUUGUCGCGUCUGCCGUGAAAGUCCGGGGCUCAACUCCGGAUCUGCGGUGGGUACGGGCAGACUAGAGUGAUGUAGGGGAGACUGGAAUUCCUGGUGUAGCGGUGAAAUGCGCAGAUAUCAGGAGGAACACCGAUGGCGAAGGCAGGUCUCUGGGCAUUAACUGACGCUGAGGAGCGAAAGCAUGGGGAGCGAACAGGAUUAGAUA
rnacentral:rRNA from 1 species